rnacentral:rRNA from 1 species
AUGACACGUCUGCCCCCAUACGUAACGAUGAUUAUACUGGUCAACGGGGUGAGGAGAUUAGCAAGCAGAAGAAUGAUGCGUCUGCCCCCGUACGUGACGAUGAUUAUACUGGUCAACUGGGUGAGGAGGUUUUUGUUGAUGCGUCAGAUGAUGAUGAAGAUGAGAAGCAAGAGCCCCCUGCUGAAUCUCCUCCGCAUGAUUUUAGUGAUGACUAUGUCAUUGAUGAUGACUGUUUCAAUGGUGAUUCUAAUGGGGGUUGCAAUGGUGUUGAUGACAAUGUUGAUUAUACGGAGGGAGUUUUUGCACCAGACCAGCCAGUAA